AUUGAACGCUGGCGGCAUGCCUUACACAUGCAAGUCGAACGGUAACAGGUCUUCGGAUGCUGACGAGUGGCGAACGGGUGAGUAAUACAUCGGAACGUGCCUAGUAGUGGGGGAUAACUACUAGAAAGAGUGGCUAAUACCGCAUGAGAUUUACGGAUGAAAGCAGGGGAUCGCAAGACCUUGUGCUACUAGAGCGGCCGAUUGCAGAUUAGGUAGUUGGUGGGAUAAAAGCUUACCAAGCCGACGAUCUGUAGCUGGUCUGAGAGGACGAACAGCCACACUGGGACUGAGACACGGCCCAGACUCCUACGGGAGGCAGCAGUGGGGAAUUUUGGACAAUGGGCGAAAGCCUGAUCCAGCAAUGCCGCGUGCAGGAUGAAGGCCUUCGGGUUGUAAACUGCUUUUGUACGGAACGAAAAGCCCCGGGUUAAUACCCUGGGGUCACGACGGUACCGUAAGAAUAAGCACCGGCUAACUACGUGCCAGCAGCCGCAGUAA
rnacentral:rRNA from 1 species